rnacentral:rRNA from 1 species
AUUGAACGCUGGCGGCAGGCCUAACACAUGCAAGUCGAACGAGUGGCGGACGGGUGAGUAAUGUCUGGGAAACUGCCUGAUGGAGGGAGAUAACUACUGGAAACUGUAGCUAAUACCGCAUACCAUCAGAUGUGCCCAGAUGGGAUUAGCUAGUUGGUGGGUUAACGGCUGACCAAGGCGACGUUCCCUAGCUGGUCUGAGAGGAUGACCAGCCAACCUGUAACGGAGAGACGGUCCAGACGCCUACGGGAGGCAGCAGUGGGGAAUAUUGCACAAUGGGCGCAAGCCUGAUGGAGCCAUGCCGAGUGUAUGAAGAAGGCCUUCGGGUUGUAAAGUACUUUCAGCGGGGAGGCGUUACCCGCAGAAGAAGCACCGGCUAACUCCGUGCCAGCAGCCGUGGUAAUUC